AGAGUUUGAUCCUGGCUCAGGACGAACGCUGGCGGCGUGCCUAAUACAUGCAAGUCGAGCGCGGGAAAUAAGCUGAUUCCUUCGGGAUGACGCUUAUGGAACGAGCGGCGGACGGGUGAGUAACACGUGGGUAACCUGCCUGCGAGACUGGGAUAACUUGCGGAAACGUGAGCUAAUACCGGAUAAUACUUUCUAUUGCAUGAUAGAAAGAUGAAAGACGGCGUAAGCUGUCACUUACAGAUGGACCCGCGGCGCAUUAGCUAGUUGGUGAGGUAAGGGCUCACCAAGGCGACGAUGCGUAGCCGACCUGAGAGGGUGAUCGGCCACACUGGGACUGAGACACGGCCCAGACUCCUACGGGAGGCAGCAGUAGGGAAUCUUCCGCAAUGGACGAAAGUCUGACGGAGCAACGCCGCGUGAGUGAUGAAGGUCUUCGGAUCGUAAAACUCUGUUGUUAGGGAAGAACAAGUUAGGUAGUAACUGACCUGACCUUGACGGUACCUAACCAGAAAGCCACGGCUAACUACGUGCCAGCAGCCGCGGUAAUACGUAGGUGGCAAGCGUUGUCCGGAUUUAUUGGGCGUAAAGCGCGCGCAGGCGGUCUUUUAAGUCUGAUGUGAAAUCUUGCGGCUUAACCGUAAGCGGUCAUUGGAAACUGGAGGACUUGAGUACAGAAGAGGAGAGUGGAAUUCCACGUGUAGCGGUGAAAUGCGUAGAGAUGUGGAGGAACACCAGUGGCGAAAGCGACUCUCUGGUCUGUAACUGACGCUGAGGCGCGAAAGCGUGGGGAGCGAACAGGAUUAGAUACCCUGGUAGUCCACGCCGUAAACGAUGAGUGCUAGUU
rnacentral:rRNA from 1 species